UUGUGAAAAAAUGAGUAAAAUGUUCUUUUUGCGCCAAAAUUGGUAUCAAUUUGGGCUUCCAAAUUGCGAUUUUGGCGCAAAUUCCUAAUUUCUGUUGUGUCAUUUAGGAGUGGUAGUUGAUGUUUGGGGAUUUAUUAUUGGCCGCAGAAAAAACAAAACAAAAAACAACAACAUGAGUUGCAAAUGUGUUAAGGAUUGUCUAGGAGGGGAGAAUCUUCAUAGCUUUCCGAAGGAUUCGACAAGGCACUUGAGGAUACUUACCGCUGAUCUCGGAAAGAUUUGGUCCAAUUCGUCCAUUAGCUUCAGGUCAGUAGCAUUUUCAGGCACUUGAGGAUACUUACCGCUGAUUUCGUAAAGAGUUGGUCCAAUUCGUCCAUUAGCUUCAGGCACUUGAGGAUACUUACGGCUGAUCCAGGAGAGAUUUGGUCCAAUUAUUCCGUUAGUUUCAGAUAUUACUUACCAUUUUUCCACAAGGAACAAUAAAAAAAUAAAAGAACAAAAUAAAAAAUUGUGAAUUUUUUUCAACAAA